AGUUUCCUGCUUCAUAACAUUUUAAUCUACCCAUCUGCUUUUGACGCAGGAGAAAUCCAGGACUUACUGCUUCAACUGGCCCAGCCAGCCAGGACAUUUUUUAGACCCUUCAAUACAGGAUUUUCCAUGUUCUCUGGGACAAAUGCCAACCCAACAAGCACACAAUGCUCUCAAUCCUGUUUCCCCGUGGGAUCUUCCAAGAUUUAAGUCAUGGAUCUCUUCACAGGUAGGAAAUCAAAGAGAAGGAAAUCUCAUAGGGCAUGCUGGACUUUCCACCUCUCAUAUCCAUCUCUAGAUAGGGCUUUGUAAUUCAAAGUCCUGGUCUUCUCAAACAUGAUGCUACCUUGCUUCUCUAUUCUGCUAGUUGUGGCACGCUAUAAUACUGACCUGCAGCGGGGUGGGCAACUUGAUGGACUGCAAAUCCCAUCAUUCUGUCUACUAUUGCUAGAGAACAUGGGAAGUCAAUCAACACUGAGGAGGUCACAAGUUAUACACACUGUUCUAUGGAUUAAUUUGUCUGCUGUUUUUAAAUCAGAAGUUCUACCUUCAUUUGGGACAAAUUAGAGACAAAACUAUGCGUGUCAGUCAAACAGUUAGUAAUGGUGUGAAUAGUUUUUAGCCUAAAUAUGAAAAGUGGGUGUUCCAGAUUUGAUCAGGACCCUGGCAUUGAAAGAAGACCCGCAAUACUGGGAAGGUCAUCAGGAAUUUGUCAAACGAUCACAAUGGCUUCUCUCAUCCAAAGUCUAAAAUAAUAAAAGAAAGUGCCCUUACUAAUCACUUUCAUGACAAUUUCAAUAGAGAGCAGGGUUUGUAAAGUUAUUUUGCUACUACUGCUUCCAGAAUCCCCCAACCAGUAUGGCUUUGUCUGUAUUCUGGGAGCUGUAGUCCAAAAAACAACUUUCCCAAGUUGAGAUAGGAAAUAAAGGUGCUACAGUACAUCCAAGCUGGCAGAAAUACCUAGAAGAGAAAGUCACUUGCCACUCCAAAAUCUCU